GAUUAAUUUAAUUAUUUUUGUAGGCUGUCAUCACCAAAGAAAAAUAUAUAUAUAUAUCUCUCUCAAAAUCUACACUUACAAACUAAUAAUAAAUGGUGGGAACGCUCUAAAAUACUCUCUCCCAGUAUUUAAAAAAAAACAAAAAACAACAAAUUAUAUAAAAUGAAGAGCACCUCAAACUGAGAAAUUCAGAACUCAUUGGAAUAAGUAAACAUAUUGGAUCGUGUUGUCUUUGGAAAUGCAAAUGGGUACUGGCUUUUAUGUGAAUGAAUAGCAGGAAGAGUUCAAUCAAAUAUUCAUUAGUGUGGAUCAAGUCAAGUCAGGAAAAUUUUAAAUUUAAGAAAGAAUUAGUGUUGG
rnacentral:lncRNA from 1 species